rnacentral:tRNA from 1 species
UAGUGGUUAGUAUAAGGUUGGAAGUACGUGAGUUUUUGGUAUUUUCGGUACGGGUUCGAGUCCCGGGCCACUAG